ensembl:scaRNA
GAGUUCUGAUCCUUAAAGGAUGGCCGUCCUGUCUGGGCUGCUGCCGCUCAGUGGCGGCGGACGGGCCGGCAGACAGGACACAGAGACGUCCGCUCAGACAUGGGGACCCGUCCAAAGACACGGGCUCGGUCCUAAAGGCAGAGCGGGACAAA